rnacentral:lncRNA from 1 species
AGUCAAUCCCCACCAAGCUCAUCAAACAAGCUGCCAUCGGAAGUGAGAACAAGUUUGACAUGCUUUUGAGGAUGCUCGAGGAGUGCGAGCGAAGACGGGAGGAGGCAGACCAAAGAAGGAGAGCAGAUUUCCUGUCUCUCAAGGCAGCAAUAGACUCGUGGAUGCCCCAAGAACAAAAGAAAGCUGAAGACCUUCAGUUUUUGGUUGAGGAUGAGCAGUCCAAGGUGACGCCCACCACCUGUUCGAUGGAGUGCCCCAAUGGCAGCAGCCCGAGCACAACAGCGAGAUCCAUCUACGACGACGAGGGGCUACUCCGACGAUCAUCCUGGAGCCUCGACGUCGAGCCUGAUUUCACCGUAGCUGCGGUGGUUACAUGUUCCAACACUGCCGUGGACUCCAAGGAGUUGGUAGCCACCGAUGGCGCAACCGGCACCACCAUCAUUGACCCCCGUGUUUGUUCCAAGGAGACGCACACCAAGUGUUUGUUGUUCGGCCCCGAUGUCAACGGUGUCACUGAUAGAGGUGUGAUUGCGUUCCAAAGUAGGAUGGGCGUGUUCAAGGUCGUUCUGAUAUCAAGUCAGUCCAUGGAGUUGAUGGUUGACGAGAAAGCAACCUGCACUGACACCACUCACCUUCCCAAGGUGAUGCACCCAAGCCAUUUGAUGUUGGGCCCCAACGUCAACACCGGUACUGUCCAGGCUGGGGUUGAGUACUCACUAUUGCUUGGCGCGCCAGAAGGAAUAGCAUCCUCGGGAAAGGCCACACUAGUCAUGGCACAAAAGCUAAACUCCAAUUUCUGCCUAAAAUCGGUGGCGCUCAACAGGUGUUCGACCAAAUGCUCCAAGGGCUACAAGAAGCUGUUGAUGAGUCAUCCCAAGAGAAACCCAUGGCCACCUCCUUGCUCAGUGCAAAUAAGAGACCAAACACCUUCUAUUGCACUAUAUUGUGCACCUAAAGGAGAUUUAAAUCAUGAAAAAUCUGAUCGAGCUCAUAAGGACACAUUGGUGGCAAUAUUUAACUUGGAACAGUUCCAUUAUGUGGGUGGUGAGGAAAAAGUUACAAAGGGAAUGUUAUAUGGCCUAAGUACAGUAAGCUGCAACUACUUGAUCAUUCCUGCUGCUAUAAUGACAACAACAUUUCUGUCAGUUCCAUCUUCUACUCAAAAUAUAUAUGGAGCUUGUUGGUUGGAGGCUCAAGAAGGGUUAAAUGAUAUAGCUAAGGGAAGAACUUACAAAAUUUGUAAGUCCAUGCGCAUGACACUUAAUCAUGUUGAGAGCUGGCUACAGAACCCAACAAACAUAUUAUACAAUGGUCAGUUGUUUAACUGUCCAGCGGAGAUACAUUUUGGGGUCAGAAGAAUUUCUGGGAUUAUUGCUAGAGGUGCUGGUGAGAAUCAGAACAGGAAGGUCAAGACAUGUGGUUAUGAUUCCAUUUUUGAUUUCUGUGAGAACAAUCCUAGUGAUGGUAGUGCUGCAGCAAGGUUUUCCAUUGAUACCGGGACAGAUUCAGAGAUGAUAUAUGCAUCAAUUGCAAACAGGGAUUAUUGGUCUGUUAAAUUAUUGGAGGUCAUAAAAGAGGAAUGCCCAAUACGCCACUUGUUACUAGGUGAUAUCAAGAAAGAACAAUUGCUGCAAUGUGAGACAUUCAAUACAACACAGAUAAAUACAGAGCAAGUUAUCAAGCUACAGGUGAGCAAUUCCAAGGAAAUACAAGAGCUACAGGUACCAUGGGAUCCAGGAGGUUUUCUUCAUCGGCUUGGGGACAAGCCAAAUUUCAAGAAGAGGGGAUUGUCAGGGGCUCGGGUGGGCUGCACAUGGGCCGCUGGCUACACCACGGGUUGGUCAGCCCAUCGCCAAGAAGCCCAAGCAAGCCCAAGCUGAAAAAUAUAUG